AGGGGUGUAGUUCAAUUGGUAGAGCACCGGUCUCCAAAACCGGGUGUUGGGAGUUCGAAUCUCUCCACCCCUGCCA
rnacentral:tRNA from 1 species